UACGAAGGGUGCAAGCGUUACUCGGAAUUACUGGGCGUAAAGCGUGCGUAGGUGGUUCGUUAAGUCUGAUGUGAAAGCCCUGGGCUCAACCUGGGAAUUGCAUUGGAUACUGGCGGGCUAGAGUACGGUAGAGGGUGGCGGAAUUCCUGGUGUAGCAGUGAAAUGCGUAGAUAUCAGGAGGAACAUCCGUGGCGAAGGCGGCCACCUGGACCAGUACUGACACUGAGGCACGAAAGCGUGGGGAACAAACAGG
rnacentral:rRNA from 1 species